UCUACGGGAGGCAGCAGUGAGGAAUUUUGCGCAAUGGGCGAAAGCCUGACGCAGCAACGCCGCGUGGGUGAUGAAGGCCUUUGGGUCGUAAAGCCCUGUCAAGUGGGAAGAACCCGCAUGGUGCGAAUAGUGCCGUGCGCUGACGGUACCACUGAAGGAAGCACCGGCUAACUCCGUGCCAGCAGCCGCGGUAAU
rnacentral:rRNA from 1 species